GUGCUUUUUUUAAUAAUUUAGUUACAACAUCAGACAUUCCCAAGCUCACAUGAAGGCCAUUUGCAGUUCUUGUCUUUCCGUCAAGUAAGUUUCCAAAGGCAUGCAAAUGGCUUCUAAUGCUGCAUAUAGGUUAGGGAUGAGGAAAGGAGAUUAUUAUGCUGGGAGAGCCCUAUAAUUAAGGGCGCACUAAUUCUCCCACUUCCUUAGUAUAUAUUUUAGAGCAAGCAGAAGUUGAAUCUCUCUGCCCCUAUCUCUCUCUGACUCUUUGGAAUUUCUAGCUUUGAGCAAGGCUAUCUCUCUUUCCCUCUCUCCGUAGAGGCGGGGAGGGUGGCUGCCGAAUCUUUGUCGGCCGGUAAGCAGAGUACUUUGUGCAGAUAAUCUAUCUUAACUAGCUAUGAUUUCAAGUGUAAUUAGUACUCUUUUUGGCACAAAUUCUUGUGCUAAGUUCAUGUACCAAUUUUGUAAUUGCUGUUGCUGAACGUGCGACUAUAUAGAAUAUAGUCAAAAUGCCGCCUCCCUCUUUCAGCUAAGCUGAGUCAUUUUUUUUUCUUUUGUUCAGCUAACGCCGCUCGACAGUUGAUGUUGGCUAAUGUGCUAUUCUUCAGGUAGAUUAGCUAGCUAGCUACUUAGCUUCAUGAUGAUUACAAUUUAUGAAGAGAAUGUGACCAGCAAUGGCGUGUAACGGCAAAGCAUAUUUGUAGUAGCAUGCAAAAUAAUCAAGAAACCAUUUACAAUUAGAAGCACC
rnacentral:sRNA from 1 species